CGGGUCGGCAAGACGGUCGCGUCGGUCGCACGGGUCCGCCCGUCGACCGCCGAGGAACGUCCGGGCUCCUCAGAGCAGGGCGGUGGGUAACACCCACCCGGGGUAACCCGCGAGACAGUGCAACAGAGAACAGACCGCCACCGGCGUCCGCGCCGGGGGUAAGGGUGAAACGGUGGUGUAAGAGACCACCAGCGACCGGGGUGACCCGGUCGGCUCGGUAAACCUCGCCCGGAGCAAGGUCAGACAGGGGACCAUGGGGCUGCUCGUCCCGUCCCCGGGUAGACCGCUAGAGGGUUGUGGUGACGCAACCCCGAGAGAGAUGGCCGUCAGCGGCAUCCGUGCCGCGACAGAACCCGGCGUAUCAGCUGGCCCGUUCA
rnacentral:RNase_P_RNA from 1 species